rnacentral:tRNA from 1 species
GGGGAUUUAGCUCAGUGGUAGAGCGCUUGCCUAGCAAGCACAAGGCUCUGGGUUCGAUUCCCAGCUCCG